GCAGGGAGUUGAGUGGACCGAUUCUGGGAUCGUGAAGUCUAGCCUCUCCAGAGAGUCCAUCUGAAUCCUGACCGUAUUCUGUAGCUUCCCUUUGCGCCAGACGUUUUUCAAGUCCGUGAUUCCUCUGCGGGGGUUCGAACGACCGAAAUCCUAUUCUUCAGACUAGCAUCUCGUUAAUGGCCCGUUAUUGGCCCUUACUUUCUCAAAUGGAAUAAAAAUUCCAGAAGGCAGGAACCCUUGCUCACUUAUUAACUCAACAGCAUCUAACACAGCACAAUUUAGUAAGCAGAUUGCACGUAGCACGAUUAAAGUGCCUGCCUGGCAGAUGUUACUGCAUCCGCUGGCUCAAUGCCUGGAGUCUCCGGAGGAGGUUUGCCAGGCCCCUGGGUUUCAUACCACAGUGCAGCAACUUGUGAGGCCCAGCCCAGAUGACCUGCCAACCAUCUGAAGACAUCACUGCAUAAAACACAGAAUGGCAUCAACACCAGACCCGAGGCUUCCUUUCAUGGUUUUGAUAGGGAAAUGCCCCAGAGUCCUUCUCUGGGGCACAAAGUUACCCUUGAUGGGAAAAAAGCUGUAUAAUAAUGGGAUGCUUUCAGCUCCCUGGUAUCUGGGGGAGGAGAGGGAAAAAAUUACUCUUUUCAUGGAGUAAAGGUUUUAAGUAGGAAAAAUAGACACUAAAUAACAAUGAGCAGAACAAAUAUCUUUAGUGUAGUAUAUUUAUAGGAAUGCAUAACAUGAGAUGUACACUUUGAAGCUUCUUCCAUAACUUAGAACAUUUACUGUUGUAAUAACAAGACAGCAGGUUGUCACUUUACAGCAUGACACAUGAGUGAUUUUGACUUACAAAUAAAAUAUUUACAGCCCACCUUUACAAAAUGACAUCGUGUGGAUACAAAAUGAACGACUGCAGAAAAAUUGAAAAAGAACAGAACAACCAAAAAACCCGGAGGAUACACUUAAGGCAGACCAGCAAGACACUGAAAUAAUUAAGGCUGUGGAAUUCUUCUGCACCUUGAAAACAGAGGGCUAUUUAUCAAUACUGUGGAGUUGUUUUAAGAUUGUUAACAAGCCUGAUGGAUGCAUGUGUUUAUAUGUAUAUGUGUACUGGUCCCUAUGGGGAAACCUGUCCACUUAUGGAUAAGGCCUUUUAUCAGUAUGGCCAGAAGAGCUCACCCAUAAACUCUUAAGAGACAUUGGGAUCACUCAAAAUUAGCAGGUGCUGUUACAAACCCAUUAUUAAUAAAUCAAAUAGAAUGAUACUUCUGGCUCCGGUUAAAUUGAAUAAACUAAUAGAGUUCCAUUCUGA